CCUGGUGAGAAGUUCUUUAACUGCUCCAUCUGCAACUAUUUUGAAUGGUUUUUAGAAAACACAAAGUCAUCUUCAUGUGUCACAUUCUUCUUAGGUGUAGAAAACACCAUCUCAGAGUCACUUGUCACCUUCU